rnacentral:rRNA from 1 species
UACGUAGGGGGCAAGCGUUGUCCGGAUUUAUUGGGCGUAAAGCGCACGCAGGCGGUUGAACAAGUUUGCGGUGACAGUGCUCGGCUUCACUGAGCAAGUGCCGCGAAAACUGUUCGACUUGAGGGCUUCAGAGGGAGGCGGAAUUCCGGGUGUAGUGGUGAAAUGCGUAGAUAUCCGGAGGAACACCAAAGGCGAAGGCAGCCUCCUGGGAAGUCACUGACGCUCAGGUGCGAAAGCUAGGGGAGCGAACGGG